rnacentral:rRNA from 1 species
GAUGAACGCUGGCGGCGUGCCUAAUACAUGCAAGUCGAACGCUUCACUUCGGUGAAGAGUGGCGAACGGGUGAGUAAUACAUAAGUAACCUGGCAUCUACGGGGGGAUAACUGAUGGAAACGUCAGCUAAGACCGCAUAGGUGUAGAGAUCGCAUGAACUCUAUAUGAAAAGUGCUACGGGACUGGUAGAUGAUGGACUUAUGGCGCAUUAGCUGGUUGGUAGGGUAACGGCCUACCAAGGCGACGAUGCGUAGCCGACCUGAGAGGGUGACCGGCCACACUGGGACUGAGACACGGCCCACACUCCUACGGGAGGCAGCAGUAGGGAAUUUUCGGCAAUGGGGGAAACCCUGACCGAGCAACGCCGCGUGAAGGAAGAAGUAAUUCGUUAUGUAAACUUCUGUCAUAGAGGAAGAACGGUGGAUAUAGGGAAUGAUAUCCAAGUGACGGUACUCUAUAAGAAAGCCACGGCUAACUACGUGCCAGCAGCCGCGGUAAUACGUAGGUGGCGAGCGUUAUCCGGAAUUAUUGGGCGUAAAGAGGGAGCAGGCGGCACUAAGGGUCUGUGGUGAAAGAUCGAAGCUUAACUUCGGUAAGCCAUGGAAACCGUAGAGCUAGAGUGUGUGAGAGGAUCGUGGAAUUCCAUGUGUAGCGGUGAAAUGCGUAGAUAUAUGGAGGAACACCAGUGGCGAAGGCGACGAUCUGGCGCAUAACUGACGCUCAGUCCCGAAAGCGUGGGGAGCAAAUAGGAUUAGAUACCCUAGUAGUCCACGCCGUAAACGAUGAGUACUAAGUGUUGGGGGUCAAAGCUCAGUGCUGCAGUUAACGCAAUAAGUACUCCGCCUGAGUAGGUACGUUCGCAAGAAAGAAACUCAAAGGAAUUGACGGGGGCCCGCACAAGCGGUGGAGCAUGUGGUUUAAUUCGAAGCAACGCGAAGAACCUUACCAGGUCUUGACAUCGAUCUAAAGGCUCCAGAGAUGGAGAGAUAGCUAUAGAGAAGACAGGUGGUGCAUGGUUGUCGUCAGCUCGUGUCGUGAGAUGUUGGGUUAAGUCCCGCAACGAGCGCAACCCCUGUUGCCAGUUGCCAGCAUUAAGUUGGGGACUCUGGCGAGACUGCCGGUGACAAGCCGGAGGAAGGCGGGGAUGACGUCAAAUCAUCAUGCCCCUUAUGACCUGGGCUACACACGUGCUACAAUGGACAGAGCAGAGGGAAGCGAAGCCGCGAGGUGGAGCGAAACCCAUAAAACUGUUCUCAGUUCGGACUGCAGUCUGCAACUCGACUGCACGAAGAUGGAAUCGCUAGUAAUCGCGAAUCAGCAUGUCGCGGUGAAUACGUUCUCGGGCCUUGCACU